GACGAACGCUGGCGGCGUGCUUAACACAUGCAAGUCGAACGCUGAAGCUUGGUGCUUGCACUGGGUGGAUGAGUGGCGAACGGGUGAGUAAUAAGUGAGUAACCUGCCCUUGACUCUGGGAUAAGCCUGGGAAACUGGGUCUAAUACUGGAUACGACAUGUCACCGCAUGGUGGUGUGUGGAAAGGGUUUUAUUGGUUUUGGAUGGGCUCACGGCCUAUCAGCUUGUUGGUGGGGUAAUGGCUCACCAAGGCGACGACGGGUAGCCGGCCUGAGAGGGUGACCGGCCACACUGGGACUGCGACACGGCCCAGACUCCUACGGGAGGCAGCAGUGGGGAAUAUUGCACAAUGGGCGGAAGCCUGAUGCAGCGACGCCGCGUGAGGGAUGACGGCCUUCGGGUUGUAAACCUCUUUCAGCGCGGAAGAAGCGAAAGUGACGGUACGUGCAGAAGAAGCGCCGGCUAACUACGUG
rnacentral:rRNA from 1 species